CAGUCGCCGCGGGAAUACAGAGGGUGCGAGCGUUAAUCGGAUUUACUGGGCGUAAAGCGUGCGUAGGCGGCUUCUUAAGUCGGAUGUGAAAUCCCUGAGCUUAACUUAGGAAUUGCAUUCGAUACUGGGAAGCUAGAGUAUGGGAGAGGAUGGUAGAAUUCCAGGUGUAGCGGUGAAAUGCGUAGAGAUAUGGAGGAAUACCGAUGGCGAAGGCAGCCAUCUGGCCUAAUACUGACGCUGAGGUACGAAAGCAUGGGGAGCAAACAGGAUUAGAUACCCCAGUAGUCCCUGUCUCUUAUAC
rnacentral:rRNA from 1 species